rnacentral:rRNA from 1 species
CCAAGUGGGGAGGUUACGGAGGCGCUGAGGAGGGACCAUGAGCGGAGGAUGUGGCGGAGCAGAUCCUGCGGAAGAGCAUGCGCCGCGGGAGACCAGCCGGCGGACCAUCCAAAGCUCUUGUUAUCUUAGUUGAUUAUCUGAGCGUCUUAUUUAAUAAGUCAAAACUUUCAACAACGGAUCUCUUGGUUCUGGCAUCGAUGAAGAACGCAGCGAAAUGCGAUAAGUAAUGUGAAUUGCAGAAUUCAGUGAAUCAUCGAAUCUUUGAACGCACAUUGCGCCCAUUAGUAUUCUAGUGGGCAUGCCUGUUCGAGCGUCAUUUCAACCCCUAAGCACAGCUUACUGUUGGGACUCUACGGCCCCCGUAGUUCCCCAAAGCCAUUGGCGGAGUGGCAGUAGUCCUCUGAGCGUAGUAAUUCUUUAUCUCGCUUUUGUUAGGCGCUGCCCCCCCGGCCGUUAAACCCCCAAUUUUUUCUGGUUGACCUCGGAUCAGGUAGGAAUACCCGCUGAACUUAAGCAUAUCAGUAAGCGGAGGAAGCUCCUCCCGCAAUGAGGGAAAGCACCCAACUUGUUAAACCAUCCCAGGUGCUCUAUUUCGUUCCCGCACGCGAAUAGGUCAAGGACUGACGCGUACGCCACUGUCUGAUGUGCCACAAGCUAAAUGGCGACAC